AGCCACAGCCAUAUCACCCUGCAGCGCAAGACCGGUUACUCACUGAAGCUAAGCAGGGCUGAGCCUGGUCAGUACCUGGAUGGGAGACCACAUGGGAACACUAGGUUGCUGUUGGAA
rnacentral:rRNA from 1 species